rnacentral:rRNA from 1 species
CCUACGGGUGGCAGCAGUGAGGAAUAUUGGUCAAUGGGCGCGAGCCUGAACCAGCCAAGUAGCGUGAAGGAUGACUGCCCUACGGGUUGUAAACUUCUUUUGUGCGGGAGCAAUAAUGGUCACGUGUGGCCAGACGAGAGUACCGUACGAAUAAGCAUCGGCUAACUCCGUGCCAGCAGCCGCGGUAAUACGGGGGAUGCAAGCGUUUUCCGGAUUUAUUGGGUUUAAAGGGUGCGUAGGCUGUGCGGUAAGUCAGCGGGUAAAUGCCCCCGGUCAAAGGGGUGAAGGGCCAUUGAUACUGUCUUGCUUGAAUGCGGAUGCCGUAGGAGGAAUGUGUGGGGUAGCGGUGAAAUGCAUAGAAAGUACACAGAACACCGAUUGCGAAGGCAUCUCACGAAUCCGCGAUUGACGCUGAUGCACGAAAGCGUGGGUAUCAAACAGGAUUAGAGACCCGAGUAGUC